UACCCGCGCCCCUAGUGGUGGUCGAUAUUAUUGAGCCUAAAACGUCCGUAGCCGGUCUUCUAAAUCCUUGGGUAAAUCGGGCAGCUUAACUGUGGGAAUUGCUGGAGAUACUAUUAGGCUUGAGGUCGGGAGAGGUUAGCGGUACUCCCAGGGUAGGGGUGAAAUCCUAUAAUCCUGGGAGGACCACCGGUGGCGAAGGCGUCUGACUAGAACGGAUCCGACGGUGAGGGACGAAGCCCUGGGGCGCAAACGGG
rnacentral:rRNA from 1 species